rnacentral:rRNA from 1 species
AGAGUUUGAUCCUGGCUCAGAAUCAACGCUGGCGGCGCGCUUAACACAUGCAAGUCGAACGAGAAAGUCCGCAAGGAUGAGUAAAGUGGCGUACGGGUGAGUAACACGUGGAUUAUCUGCCUCCGAGUGUGGAAUAACUCUGGGAAACCGGAGCUAAUACCGCAUAACACCGGGAGGUCAAAGCAGCAAUGCGCUUGGAG